UACGUAGGGUGCGAGCGUUAAUCGGAAUUACUGGGCGUAAAGCGUGCGCAGGCGGUUCGUUAAGUCAGAUGUGAAAGCCCCGGGCUCAACCUGGGAACUGCAUUUGAAACUGGCGGGCUUGAGUGUGGCAGAGGGGGGUGGAAUUCCGCGUGUAGCAGUGGAAUGCGUAGAGAUGCGGAGGAACACCGAUGGCGAAGGCAGCCCCCUGGGCCAACACUGACGCUCAGGCACGAAAGCGUGGGGAGCAAACGGG
rnacentral:rRNA from 1 species